rnacentral:rRNA from 1 species
UAACACGUGGGUAACCUGCCCAAGAGACUGGGAUAACACCUGGAAACAGAUGCUAAUACCGGAUAACAACACUAGACGCAUGUCUAGAGUUUGAAAGAUGGUUCUGCUAUCACUCUUGGAUGGACCUGCGGUGCAUUAGCUAGUUGGUAAGGUAACGGCUUACCAAGGCAAUGAUGCAUAGCCGAGUUGAGAGACUGAUCGGCCACAUUGGGACUGAGACACGGCCCAAACUCCUACGGGAGGCAGCAGUAGGGAAUCUUCCACAAUGGACGAAAGUCUGAUGGAGCAACGCCGCGUGAGUGAAGAAGGGUUUCGGCUCGUAAAGCUCUGUUGGUAGUGAAGAAAGAUAGAGGUAGUAACUGGCCUUUAUUUGACGGUAAUUACUUAGAAAGUCACGGCUAACUACGUGCCAGCAGCCGCGGUAAUACGUAGGUGGCAAGCGUUGUCCGGAUUUAUUGGGCGUAAAGCGAGUGCAGGCGGUUCAAUAAGUCUGAUGUGAAAGCCUUCGGCUCAACCGGAGAAUUGCAUCAGAACCUGUUGAACUUGAGUGCAGAAGAGGAGAGUGGAACUCCAUGUGUAGCGGUGGAAUGCGUAGAUAUAUGGAAGAACACCAGUGGCGAAGGCGGCUCUCUGGUCUGCAACUGACGCUGAGGCUCGAAAGCAUGGGUAGCGAACAGGAUUAGAUACCCUGGUAGUCCAUGCCG